rnacentral:lncRNA from 1 species
AAACAUAGAAAAAGAAGAUCAUAAAUGGAAACACUAUACAUGGAUGAGGAAGAUGAGAUAGCUGCAGAUGAACCUGAAAUAGGUUGACCAUGGCGCUGACCUGAGCAACUGGAACAUUAAAAAGAAAGAGUUAUCAUUCCUGGAGGAUUUGUGACUAGAAGCGUCACUGUGGUCUAGACUGGGAGGGAACUUUGCUGAGCAACCCGCGUUCCAUCCAUCAGUCACUUGAGUGACUGUGUUUGCCGUGUUUCCUCUAAUCCACUGAACAGGAAGAACAGAAGAGAGCCAGGGCCUGAAGAGCGGGAGAGCUGGAAGAGUAAACAUAGAAUGAAAAAGGCAAGUGGCUACUUAUUUCCUUUUCUAGCAGUAAAAACAUUCAUACAC